CCACUUCUCACACACCAGCUGAAUCUGAGAGCAGCAGCAGAAAACCUCACUCAACCUUCCUCCACACCAAACUCACUCUGGAAAAAGCAGAGAGUGAAAAACAGAAAACUGGAGACUGGAUUUUGGAAACCUGAAAACCUGGACUCUCCUGUGUGGCCUGAUGCAGAUACAUGCAGUGAGAACCUGAUGGAGAACAGCCAGGUGUUUUUCUGCCCUGCACUGGAGGAAUCUGGAUGACGAGCUAAAGGACAAAGAAGACUUCUAAAGGCUUCCCCUUCUGCACUAGACCUCAAGCCUCAAGCCUGGGCCCUCUCCUGGUGCGGCUUUGCUUUUGUCCGAGCUCUCUGCCUCUGUGCUCUCUCCUCCUCUGCCAAAUCGCCGACUCAGCUCAGACGUCAACACAGAGCAACACGAUUUCUGAAAGAGAAAAACACCAAGAGCUCUGCCAGACAAACCAAACAUCAGACUCUCCCCCUACCUUCCCAUCCUUGGCCUGGUUUCGGGCCUUGGACAGGAGCUCCAGCAGAGCCAGCAGCAGGCCGACAGCCAGGCCCAGGCCGAGCAGCAGGAAGAGACCCCGCAGGUCGCUGGUGUGCAGGGGCUCAGAGGUGGAGGUCCCCUCUGCACUCCUACAACUGCUGGCCCACCAUUUAUCCCUCAGCCACAGCAGUAAAUAAGCCAAACAGCCAGUGGAGGACAAUGGCAGCGUUGUUGUCGCUUGUUUUCAAGGAGACGUGGAGAAAAAAAGCUUCAGGCUGAAGGGACACUUUGAGGUUCAAACGGGGCCCCUGUGGAGGGGAUCAAAGCGGGGGCCGUCCUGAAAGAUGUUGUUCAUCAAAGCUGCAUACUGAAAAGGUGGAAGUGACGAUAGCUGCAGUUCCUGCGCCAGCCACUAGAGGCUCUCCUGCUAUGAAGACAUCAAAGAGCCACAUGUUGAGGAUCACUGGUCUAGAGAAAUUCAAGAAGAGAUGAAGAUCAAAGUCACUGACAUCUGCCAGUCUGGAAAGGGCUACAAAGAUGUUUCCAAGGCUUUGGGAUGCAGGCCAAUCAUCAUGAGAGCCAUUACCCACAAAUGGAGAAAACUUGUAAAAGUGGUGAACCUU